GGUUAAGCGACUAAGCGUACACGGUGGAUGCCCCGGCAGUCAGAGGCGAUGAAGGACGUGCUAAUCUGCGAUAAGCGUCGGUAAGGUGAUAUGAACCGUUAUAACCGGCGAUUUCCGAAUGGGGAAACCCAGUGUGAUUCGUCACACUAUCAUUAACUGAAUCCAUAGGUUAAUGAGGCGAACCGGGGAACUGAAACAUCUAAGUACCCCGAGGAAAAGAAAUCAACCGAGAUUCCCCCAGUAGCGGCGAGCGAACGGGGAGGAGCCCAGAGCCUGAAUCAGUGUGUGUGUUAGUGGAAGCGUCUGGAAAGGCGCGCGAUACAGGGUGACAGCCCCGUACACAAAAAUGCACAUGCUGUGAGCUCGAUGAGUAGGGCGGGACACGUGGUAUCCUGUCUGAAUAUGGGGGGACCAUCCUCCAAGGCUAAAUACUCCUGACUGACCGAUAGUGAACCAGUACCGUGAGGGAAAGGCGAAAAGAACCCCGGCGAGGGGAGUGAAAAAGAACCUGAAACCGUGUACGUACAAGCAGUGGGAGCCUCUUUAUGGGGUGACUGCGUACCUUUUGUAUAAUGGGUCAGCGACUUAUAUUCUGUAGCAAGGUUAACCGAAUAGGGGAGCCGAAGGGAAACCGAGUCUUAACUGGGCGUUAAGUUGCAGGGUAUAGACCCGAAACCCGGUGAUCUAGCCAUGGGCAGGUUGAAGGUUGGGUAACACUAACUGGAGGACCGAACCGACUAAUGUUGAAAAAUUAGCGGAUGACUUGUGGCUGGGGGUGAAAGGCCAAUCAAACCGGGAGAUAGCUGGUUCUCCCCGAAAGCUAUUUAGGUAGCGCCUCGUGAAUUCAUCUCCGGGGGUAGAGCACUGUUUCGGCAAGGGGGUCAUCCCGACUUACCAACCCGAUGCAAACUGCGAAUACCGGAGAAUGUUAUCACGGGAGACACACGGCGGGUGCUAACGUCCGUCGUGAAGAGGGAAACAACCCAGACCGCCAGCUAAGGUCCCAAAGUCAUGGUUAAGUGGGAAACGAUGUGGGAAGGCCCAGACAGCCAGGAUGUUGGCUUAGAAGCAGCCAUCAUUUAAAGAAAGCGUAAUAGCUCACUGGUCGAGUCGGCCUGCGCGGAAGAUGUAACGGGGCUAAACCAUGCACCGAAGCUGCGGCAGCGACACUAUGUGUUGUUGGGUAGGGGAGCGUUCUGUAAGCCUGUGAAGGUGUGCUGUGAGGCAUGCUGGAGGUAUCAGAAGUGCGAAUGCUGACAUAAGUAACGAUAAAGCGGGUGAAAAGCCCGCUCGCCGGAAGACCAAGGGUUCCUGUCCAACGUUAAUCGGGGCAGGGGUGAGUCGACCCCUAAGGCGAGGCCGAAAGGCGUAGUCGAUGGGAAACAGGUUAAUAUUCCUGUACUUGGUGUUACUGCGAAGGGGGACGGAGAAGGCUAUGUUGGUCGGGCGACGGUUGUCCCGGUUUAAGCGUGUAGGCUGAUUUUCCAGGCAAAUCCGGAAAAUCAAGGCUGAGGCGUGAUGACGAGGCACUACGGUGCUGAAGCAACAAAUGCCCUGCUUCCAGGAAAAGCCUCUAAGCAUCAGGUAACAUCAAAUCGUACCCCAAACCGACACAGGUGGUCAGGUAGAGAAUACCAAGGCGCUUGAGAGAACUCGGGUGAAGGAACUAGGCAAAAUGGUGCCGUAACUUCGGGAGAAGGCACGCUGAUACGUAGGUGAAGUCCCUCGCGGAUGGAGCUGAAAUCAGUCGAAGAUACCAGCUGGCUGCAACUGUUUAUUAAAAACACAGCACUGUGCAAACACGAAAGUGGACGUAUACGGUGUGACGCCUGCCCGGUGCCGGAAGGUUAAUUGAUGGGGUUAGCGGUAACGCGAAGCUCUUGAUCGAAGCCCCGGUAAACGGCGGUACGUAACUAUAACGGUCCUAAGGUAGCGAAAUUCCUUGUCGGGUAAGUUCCGACCUGCACGAAUGGCGUAAUGAUGGCUAGAGCUGUCUCCACCCGAGACUCAGUGAAAUUGAACUCGCUGUGAAGAUGCAGUGUACCCGCGGCAAGACGGAAAGACCCCGUGAACCUUUACUAUAGCUUGACACUGAACAUUGAGCCUUGAUGUGUAGGAUAGGUGGGAGGCUUUGAAGUGUGGACGCCAGUCUGCAUGGAGCCGACCUUGAAAUACCACCCUUUAAUGUUUGAUGUUCUAACGUUGGCCCCUGAUCGGGGUUGCGGACAGUGUCUGGUGGGUAGUUUGACUGGGGCGGUCUCCUCCUAAAGAGUAACGGAGGAGCACGAAGGUUGGCUAAUCCUGGUCGGACAUCAGGAGGUUAGUGCAAUGGCAUAAGCCAGCUUGACUGCGAGCGUGACGGCGCGAGCAGGUGCGAAAGCAGGUCAUAGUGAUCCGGUGGUUCUGAAUGGAAGGGCCAUCGCUCAACGGAUAAAAGGUACUCCGGGGAUAACAGGCUGAUACCGCCCAAGAGUUCAUAUCGACGGCGGUGUUUGGCACCUCGAUGUCGGCUCAUCACAUCCUGGGGCUGAAGUAGGUCCCAAGGGUAUGGCUGUUCGCCAUUUAAAGUGGUACGCGAGCUGGGUUUAGAACGUCGUGAGACAGUUCGGUCCCUAUCUGCCGUGGGCGCUGGAGAACUGAGGGGGCUGCUCCUAGUACGAGAGGACCGGAGUGGACGCAUCACUGGUGUUCGGGUUGUCAUGCCAAUGGCACUGCCCGGUAGCUAAAUGCGGAAGAGAUAAGUGCUGAAAGCAUCUAAGCACGAAACUUGCCCCGAGAUGAGUUCUCCCUGACUCCUUGAGAGUCCUGAAGGAACGUUGAAGACGACGACGUUGAUAGGCCGGGUGUGUAAGCGCAGCGAUGCGUUGAGCUAACCGGUACUAAUGAACCGUGAGGCUUAACCUU
rnacentral:rRNA from 1 species